rnacentral:rRNA from 1 species
CCUACGGGAGGCAGCAGUGAGGAAUAUUGGUCAAUGGCCUGAAGGCUGAACCAGCCAAGCCGCGUGAAGGACGAAGGUGCCAAGCAUUGUAAACUUCUUUUGUCAAGGGACAAAAUCAGGCUCGAGAGCCUGACCUAAGGUACUUUAAGAAAAAGCAUCGGCGAACUCCCUGCCAGCCACCGCGGUAAUACGGGGGAUGCGAGUGUUAACCGUAUUUAUUGGGUUUUAAGGGUGCGUAGGCGGACGGUUAAGUCCGCGGUAAAAAUCCGGGGCUAAACCCCGGCGAGCCGUUGAAACUGGCUGUCUUGAGAUGGCGAGAGGUAUGCGGAAUGCGUAGUGUAGCGGUGAAAUGCUUAGAUAUUGCGCAGAACUCCGAUUGCGAAGGCAGCAUACCGGCGGCGAUCUGACGCUGAGGCACGAAAGCGUGGGUAUCGAACAGGAUUAGAUACCCUUGUAGUC